AAUAUUUUCACAAUGGUAUUUAAAGAAUAUUCAAUUUCGCUCAAACUUCAAAAUAUGGUAUUUCAAAGUUUAAAUCUCAAAGUUUAAAUUUUAGAGUUCAACAUCGAAAAUUAUAUCCAGAAGUUGGGAUGUUAUAUUCUGAAUUUUAAAAUAAAGUUUAAAAAUUCAGGGCACUCAGUUAUGAAUUUCAAACUAGCAUCUCAAAAUUAGGGCACUAAGUUCUUAACUUCAAAAUUUACGAUACUCUGUUGUAAAGUAUUGGUGAAUUGGCUAAUGAUUAAUUACGUUGUAAAUUGUGGAUAUCUUUUAAAUAGUGGGAUUCAAAGUGGCUAUUCUGCACUUCAUCCAAAUUAUUGGGCAUCGGUUCGUGCAAAUCCUCCGUGACCGGGUCGGGUUAGCCGGUUUCACCUCCCGCUCGUUUUCAUCCGCCAAUCGAAAAUUCUAACACUCCGAUCGAAAAUUCGCCGUUGUCAACUAUGGAUUUCACAGUGGUUAAUCAAUGCUAGUGCUUCAGAAGAACGUCAGACAGCAAAACUUUCGCGCUUUCACAGGUAGUAUAUAUUUUCACGAAUGAUAACAAUAUCGUACAAUUUAUCGCGAUCAUAUAUUGUUAGCACUGCACGGCGCAUUUCAUGUGUUUGCAUUACGCUUUUUGACUGAAUAAGGAGUUUAAGAUGUUAAAUUAAUUAUGUAUUAGAUAGCGAAAGUAUUAAAGUAGUUGAAAAGUUUGUUGUUAGAGAGAAAAGUAAAAGUUUGAGUAGUUGAGUGAAAAUUAUAUUGAAAUUGAAUGGUGUGAGGUUGAAAUUCCAGCAUAGACAAUAAAACAUUCAGUGGCUUCUCCUGCCUAAGCUUAGGUAGAUAGAGUACCCGUGCUGGUAGGAGGUAGUGGAUACUCAAUGGAAUAGUUGAGGCGUACGCAAGCUGGGCCAGAUAAGGCCUUCAUAAAAAGGAAUAAGAAAAAAGAAAGGAAAAAACAAAAAGAAAAAAGACACUAGGUGAUGGUAGGCUUAGAGCGCGUUUGGCUUAGCUGAUUUAGAGUAGCUGAUAAGCAUUAGGUGCUGAAAAGCACUUUUAAGUGCUGAAACUGAUUUAAAAAAUAAGCAGUUACAUGUUUGGAUAAAAGUGCUGAAAUUGAUAAUAAACAGCUUAAGAAUUGGGUAUACGAAGAGUUUUGUUUUAAAAAGAAGUAUUUUCGGGAUAGAAUAGUAAAUAUUUUGGUCAAGCUGAAAUUUGAUAAGUUGGGGGAUACCAACUUAUGGCUUUUGGCUUAUAAGCACUUUCAAUUUUACCAAACGCUUAGAUAAGCCAAAAAGUGCUUAUAAGCCUGUUUGACCAACAACAACAACAACUACCCAGUAUAGUCCCAAACGUGGGGUUUGGGGAGGGUAAUAUGUAGACGAGCCUUACCCCUACCCGAAAGGGCAGAGAUGCUGUUUCCAANNNNNNNNNNNNNNNNNNNNNNNNNNNNNNNNNNNNNNNNNNNNNNNNNNNNNNNNNNNNNNNNNNNNNNNNNNNNNNNNNNNNNNNNNNNNNNNNNNNNNNNNNNNNNNNNNNNNNNNNNNNAUGAAGGAAAGAAAAAACAAAAACAAAAACAAAAACAAAAGAGCAUUAGUAAGUCCAGCUGAAAUAGCGUAAAUAAUUAUCUAAACAUAAGAACCAUAAAUAAAAUAGCAUGCAAUAAUAUUAAACAGUAACUACCAUAAAUAACUACAAUAAGGGAGACACAAUCGGUGAGCAGUACAAAAAUCUCUGGGGGCCCCUAUCCUACAACCCUGAUACUAGACCUCCAGACUAUACUAUCAAGGGUCAUGUCCUCGGAAACCCGCAUCCUAGCCAUGUCAUGCCUAAUCACCUCUCCCNNNNNNNNNNNNNNNNNNNNNNNNNNNNNNNNNNNNNNNNNNNNNNNNNNNNNNNNNNNNNNNNNNNNNNNNNNNNNNNNNNNNNNNNNNNNNNNNNNNNNNNNNNNNNNNNNNNNNNNNNNNNNNNNNNNNNNNNNNNNNNNNNNNNNNNNNNNNNNNNNNNNNNNNNNNNNNNNNNNNNNNNNNNNNNNNNNNNNNNNNNNNNNNNNNNNNNNNNNNNNNNNNNNNNNNNNCCGGGGCAUCGGGACUUCUUCUCCGCACAUGCCCGAACCACCUCAGCCUCGCUUCUCGCAUCUUCUUAUCCACCGGGGCCACCCCCACCUUUCUCGAAUAACUUCAUUCUUAAUCUUAUCUAACCCACCGUCAUAAAAAAUAAGUAAAAAAGAAAAAAAGAAAAAAGAAAUGGAAUGGUAUCAUUCAUUUUUAGCAAAAUGGGAUGAUUAUGGUACAAAUUGGAAUAAAGUGAGUGUUGAUAUGAGGUUUCAGUGAUACUUGAUGGCUAUAUUAAGAAGAAAUCAAUAUCUGUAUGUAUUUAUUUUAAGUGCAGAAUCUCAGAAACAAAUUCGUACUCUUGUCUGUUAUUUGUGUUUAUGUGUCUAUUUAUUUUAUUACUCCUAUCUAAUUUUAUUUUUAUCGACAUAGGCUCGACAACUUGGGGCUGACCUUAGUCGGGUACCCCUCUGAAGUCCAACGGAGGACACCAAGCCCAGCCAUGAGCCUUCUGAUCGUCCCAUUGACCCGUCCAUGUAAGUCUGUUUGUGUCUAUUGUGCUCACUGAAUUUUAACUUAGUGCAGUAUUUGCCUAUACAGUAAUUAUCAUUUUGUUAUAUAUUUUAAGCAUUAUCCAAAAGGAAUUGGUGGAUCAGUUACUAAUUUGGGGUUUCACAAGCCUAUUCAUCUAAUACAUUAGACACUAGCUUCACUACUAUGUCACCAUGCCUUUACUUAUUAUAUAAAAGUAUAGAGGAAGAAAAAUCCCUUACUAUAAUAUGGAAAUUUCAAGUUUGUUAAUUAUUAUACCUCUUACUCCAUUUGAUAGUUUAUUUCGCUUUUCUUUUCUCCUUUUAUUAGAAUAAAAGUUUUGUUGAAUAUUAAGUUAGAAGAGAAAGGUGAAUGAUUGAGGACAAGUAAUGUGUUUAAUUAAUGAAGAAAUCAAUUUAGUUGCAUUGGUCUUGUUAACAUUGGUAGUGUUUCUUUGGAAAGAAGCAACUUAUGGUUGAUCUAUAGGUGAUACUGCAGAAGAGGUCACAUGUUUAGCCCUGCAUUCACAACUUAAAGAAUUGGCAAAGGGAGACUCUGAGGAAAGAAGUUCUUUUCAAAUGUUUUUAUUGUAGAGAACCAUAUUAUUGUGUAGGUUCUUUAAUUUUGGAAGCUACUCCUGUAAUAGGAAUUUCCCACCGCAUUAAUAGAAAUAUUACUUCACGAAAAAGAAAUGAUUUUCAGGAAGUCUAUCUUUUUCAUUUUCUAACUCCAUGUCAUAUCAACUUCUCAAUAUCACAGUUGAGAGCUGUCCGCCUUUGCAGCCAGAUGGCCCGCUAGCUGUUUUAUGCUUAUUACCUCAAUCCCUGGAACCAAUAGCAUUUAGAUAAUUUUUUCGAUAAGGUAAUUUUAUUAAUAACAACAGUACCAAGAAGGUAAUAAAGUAGUACAAAAAUAUUGAACUUAUACGAAGACUACCAAGAAACUGAAUCUAGCAAGUCUAAGAAGUCAUCUACGCUAAUUACAGUAUCACCUUUUUGUCAUUAAAACAAUUGUGGUAAACACCUAUAUUUUAUAGCAGAAAUCUGGUCCUUUUUCUUUUCAAAAUGUCUCUUGUUUCUUUCUUGCCAAACUGUCCAAAUGAUGCCGAGAGGAAUAAGCUUCCAGAUCAUCUUCAUCCUUUUCUUCAUGUACUGUGCUUGCCAGCUGUUCUCUAGAUCCUUGAUGAAGAUUUCUAGUUCUAAAGAUACUGAAUUCUCGUGGUUAACAAACAACUAACAGGUGAAGAUCGCCAAAGCUGGAGGAAUUUCUUCACUUUAUGGCUUUCGCUGUCAUCCCCCGGUUUCUUCUAUGAUUUUUGGUGCACUGUUUUUUUCUUUUUUUCUUUUUGCUCUACAAGGUUUAUAUGAUUUGGGGGUUCUUUGAUCCAUAGGUUCAUUAAGCUCAUCAGGAUGUGUUAAAUCUUGAAGUAAAAUAUGCUUACCUAAAGUAUCAAGUUUCACCUAUUCACCUUUUUCUUAUACAAAAGAAGAGAAAAUAUCUUUCUUGAUAAGCAGAAAAGAAAACACAAUACUAAUGUUCAUUUUGUUCAUAAUUUACUGCAUGUAUGUUAUGCAGUGGAAAUCUGAUAACAGGCUGAAAUGUAGCGAAAGUUUUUUGGACAGCCAAAUGAACAAGCUGUCAAUUCUGCAAAUAUAUAAAUAUGAGACAACGCACUAUUACAUUGAAACCUUUGAGCUCUCGUAGGGCCUAAGCUUUUAUACAAUUUAGCACUUACACACUAUUAGUCUACUAGCUGGGCAUACUUCUUGCUGUCUGUCCAACACGAUAGUGGCAUUUAUGCUCACUGGAUUCACUAAUUGGGGACAAAUGUUCCAACAUACCCAACUCCAACGAUGAAGAAAGCUCCUGCUUGCAGGAACAGGUAUAUGAAAAAGUGAUCAUUUCCAAAUAGCAUGUUGUAUAUAGCACAGUAUAGCAUAUACAUUCCCAUUAGCAGCUCUAAGACAUGAAUCCUGUUUUCAAACCAUAGUGCAGGUUGCAAUCAGAAAUUUGCAGGAUAGAGAAUACUUUGAUGUUAACAACUUCGUAGGACUGAAUAAACUGUCAAAUGUAAUGUAACGUAUCAAUAUUCGAUUACCUUUCACCUGUAAAGAAUACUUUGAUGUUACCAACUUUGUAGGACUGAAUAACUGUCAAAUGUAAUACAAAGUAUCUAUAUACGAUUACCUUUCACCUAUCCUCGAUCUUGGUCUCUUUGAUGCCUUGGCACUAUACUUUUGCUUCAUCAUGUUCCCCAGCUUCUCAGUUACAACCCAUUCAUUUACUCGGUUAGCUUCUAAGAGUCCUAUUAUUGUUGCCUUAGAUCGAUGGAGAGACAUGACGUUCUCGAAUAGGAUCCAGAAUACAAGAAGAUGGAAAGAUCUGCAUGGAAACAAUACUAAGCUGUGUAAUUAUUGUUCUUUCAAAAAUAUGUAAAUGAACAGAAGAAGGUUUUCUGAGUUUGAGUUCACAUACCUUGGUGUGCAAGCGGCAUUAAGAAUGGUAAUGGUUGCUGGAAGAUAUAUAGCUAGAGGCUUUGUAAGAUGGACUUCAGGCACUAAAAUAGUUGCUGGAAUGACGACACAGUAAAAGAAAAAAGUAACCCAGUGUGCAAUAAUCUUCCUCACGAUAGUUGCUGGAAUGACAACACAGUAAAAGAAAAAAGUAACCCAGUGUGCAAUAAUCUUCCUCACAAAGAAGAAGCCGUAUAUGAGAUGAAACUUCUUCCAGAUUGAUACACGCUGCAUUAAAAGAAAAGGUGUGAUGUGACUUGUUGACAGAAAAGCUUCUUUUUUAAAAAAUAGACAGAAUUUAGAAAAUAGUAUCACCUCGCAAAGCAUGAUCUCUUUCAUCAUCUUGCGGAAGAGGUUAGCUGGGCCACACGACCAGCGGUGCUGCUGAAAUCUAUAAGCCUUGAAGGUACUUGGGAGUUCGUUCUUGACCUAAAUGAACUAUGUUAUGCUUCUGAUAGAUAGAGGCUUCUAGUCAUUUCCAUAAAUAAGAAUUUUUGAAGUUAUGAACUCACAGCUAGGUCACCCACAAACACAAAUUUCCAACCCUUAAGGCUAGCCCUGACUGCAAGAUCCAUGUCCUCUACUGUGGUCCUGUCUUUCCAUCCACCAGCAUCAUUCACUGCUUGAAUUCUCCAGACGCCAGCAGUCCCUACAAUUCAAUCCAAAAAGCUAAUUGCAUUCUCAAAAUAAUUUCUAGCUGUUGAAUGCCUGUAUGUAGAGUGAGAUCUGACUCUUGGUUUACCGUUGAACCCAAAGAAUGAACAUGUUGACGAGCCAACUUCUUGCUCAACACUGAAGUGAUAGUCCAAUGACAUCUCCUGGAGUCGAGUCAUCAGACAUUCAUCUGCAUUAACUGUGGAAACAUUUUGAUUAAAUUAAUGACUAGGUUAGUAAGAACCAGAAAUGCAGCGGAAGCUGUGAAUUCUGCCUAUGAGUCUACGCAGGCAUUGCCUUUAAAUAGAUUAAGGACAGUUUGCUGAAUACAUUUCUAUUUUAGAUAAAUUUCUUCAUGAAAAGUUUUUUGAGUAAGACGGAAACAACAUAAAGGAAUCCUGUAAUUAUAAAAUGGAUGCAAUUGCAGUUUACUGUCACAAAACAUAAUAAUAUUACUAUUCAUUAAUUGUGUUAUACCUCUUUUGAACACCUUUAAAAAAAUUUGUUUUUGAGAAGCAUGACCAAUAAUUCAGUGUGUUAUGGACAUAUUGCUGUCUUUGGCCUUACCAAAUUUCCAUCUGGCUUGAACCAAAGCCAAUUCUGGGUUGUCUAGAAGAUAUGGUAUGGUCCUCCAAAGAAAGUCUUCAUCAGGCUGAAAGUCUGCAUCAAAGAUCACAACAAACUCACAGUCAUCAACAUACUGCUUCUUUAGACCUUCCUUGAGAGCACCGGCUUUGUAGCCGUUCCUGUUGUUUCUUGUUUCGUAUUUCACGUUUAUUCCUCUUUCUAUCCACUUUCGACAUUCCAAGUCCACCAAUGUCUGCAAAUAUAUCCUCAAAAAUUAUUUGGCCCUCUCUCUAUCCACUUUCGACAUUCCAAGUCCACCAAUGUCUGCAAAUAUAUCCUCAAAAAUUAUUUGGGAUUCAGAAGAUUCUUAAAUUUUGCUCUCAGAUAAUGUUGAGUUGAAAGAGAUACCCUUAAAACUUCAUUGGUGGAGUCAUCAAGAACCUGCACAAUGAGCCUAUCUGAUGGCCAUGACAAGCCACAUACAGCUCCAAUAGAGAGCUUGUAAACCUGAUAAAGAACAAUAAGAUGAGUAAUGGUUUUCAUUGUAAAGAAAGUUUAUAUUCCAUUAUUCCUAUUAAUCUGCUAUUCUUGUUGGCACUCAGACUAAUUCCAAAUGCUUUUUUCUUGUUGCCCAGUUUUUAUUUUCUUUGAUCAGGAGCAAGGCACAAAUAUUAGUGCCUUUAUGUUAUAUGCUCCUAAACGUUGUUCCGGGCUAGACCCUUACAGUCAAUAUGCUAGUGACAUUCUCAAAUUUAAAUGGCAUAACAACAACUAUAUGCUCCUAAACGUUGUUCCUUGUCCAACUGAGCUAGAGGUUAGACCCUUACAGUCAAUAUGCUAGUGACAUUCUCAAAUUUAAAUUGCAUAAUGGCAGAAAAUAUCUAGGUUUGCUUCUGUUGGUUUUUAAUUAGAUGUGCUUAUUUAGCUAUCUACAAGUCAUUAACUAUGUUGGACGAUUAAAAUAAAUCUAUAAUUUCUACAAUCAGUCAAAUAGUAUGUAGAUUCUAUUGGUCAAAACGUCCUUAAACUAUCUUGCUCCUUUUGGAAUUUUUAAAGAGAUGGACAAUAAGCUUCCUUCCCAUGUUCUGGCUUACCGUCCUAGUUUGACCUUGUUAGUCAAUUAACAUUGACAUGUUAGAUAUCUUAUUUAUUUGGUCUCCUGCUACUAAAAACAUGGUUUUGUAGCAGUACUCAAGACGAAAAGAUUAGACACCGACAAAGGAUUUGUCAACUUAAUCAGUAAAGUCUGACGUGCAGGAUUUAUAUGAGAAGGGAUUAAUUCUUGCAUCUAUUUUUCCAUUUAAGAAAUUUCUGGCAUUUGUGGUGUAGUUUUGCCAUUUUUCUAAUUCUUAUCUGAAUGGUCUGGGAAUGGGGAAGCCAGGAAGCGUAAGGGUGAGAGAAGAACAAAGAUUGCUCCACUAGCAUUGAAGGUAUAAAAUCCUCCAAUGAACUUUCACUUGAUACUCAGUACAGUUUUACACUAGUGUUGUUUCUAGAUUUUUUAUUAUUGGUGGUUUUGAGAAACAAAAUUGUAUUUUCUGUUGCUGAUUGACUAAAUUUCUUUCAGUUUUGGGACCAUUGUAUGUUAGUGAUUUAUUUUCUACAAAUUACUUUUAAGAUGGAAACAUUAUAACCACCGAUCGAGAAAAAGAAGGGGGAUGAAAACAAACAUAUUCUUAGUUACUUCUAAGCAAAUAGUUAAAAUUGAGACACAAUGAUGAACAAUAAUCAUGUAUGCAUAACUGUAAAUCUCUGGAACUUGAACAGAAAAGACAUAUACUCAAGUAAAGUUAAAAGGUUCUGGCAGGUAUGUACCUCCUUUUCGUUGAACAUAGGUAUUUGGACCAACACCAUUGGGUAGUUUUUGUGCUUCUCUAGGUCUUCUUUUACAGACUCGAGCUUAUACUUCGUGUAUCUUUUCCUUCCAAAGCACUUGACCCCUGCGAUCACUAUUGCCAUGUAAAUGCGCUCAAGAAAGAGCAUGAUGGACAUCCCUAUGCAUAUAUACAUUGCAAGAUGUAGAGCAGGCACAACUACUGGAACUCGUAUCCGCUCCCAGGCAUGAUUUAGACUUUGAGUAGUAUUGGUAUUUACUCUGAUCCCAGUUUCUUCGAAAAUGAGAUUUCUCAUGGUCUGUGCUCAAGUUACUGUAUUAUAUGGAGGGCCUGAAUUCGGAGUUCAGUGAGGGAGCAGACCACUUUGGGUUGAAAGGAACGAGCUUGUAAGUACAUAGAGAUGGAGUGAGAUUGUGGUGAACUUGAGGAUGCAGGUUUUGUUGCUUUAAAUAGAGAUGAAGUGUGAUUGUAGUGAAGGUGACGAUAGUAAAUGGAGAUGAGGUGGAGUGGUGUCGUAGAUUGAGUAAUCCAUUUAAAUAAAGUUCUUCCAUGUGAGAGACACACGGUCUACAUGCAAUGAAGGUGCUGCAACGUAUCAUCUUGCUAGCUGGAGUUCUGGCUUUUCCCUCCGACAAUGCUGUUGGAGGAUCUAUUCAUAGCUAUACAUGUUAACAUUUUGAAUUGGAUAAUACAGAUUAAGUUUUGAAUAAUUUUAUCUAUUUACACUUUUAAAGAGAAGCGCCUAAGAAAUUCCAUCUGAUUUCACCAAAUGCUUUUUAAUUCCGGAGUCCGUUGAUUAUUACUCAUCCUCUCUUUUCACUAUUGCCCAUAUCCAUGUUUUAGCACCUAUGUCACUCUGCUUUUCAUGCUUUAUUCUUGAGAGUAUUAGUGGUAACACUGACCUAGAUUAGAAACAAAAUAUUUAGCUCAAUAGGACUAUGUCGUUUUAUCCUGUGCACCUACAUCAAAUGAUUACUUUUAAAAUCAUAUUAUCAGAUAAGGAGUAUUGCAAAAUAAGCUUUGAAGUUCUUUACAGCUGGCAUAACUCUGUUUUUUCUGAACGUAGAACCAUCAAGUGAUGCAGAAAUCUAGCCUCAAAGACGACACGCCUCAUUUGGAAUCAUGUGAAUAUGGAACAUAACACGUUUUGAGCACAUCCAAGUCUAAUGUCGUCAUCAACUCUUUGAAUUGUCAUCUAAAUUGUCCAUUCUUGUGCGGGUUACUUGCAGUCCCAAGUCAUGAUGGAUAUGUUAGUAAGUGGUUGGCUUUAUUUAAAUGUUUAUAAGCUACCUUCUGAAUGAUGACUUUCCUAAUUAUACAUUGCUAUCGGUAAUGCUUUAGAAAGUAAAAAAAUUUGGUUAAAUAUGUCUCACUUGUUGAGGGCAAUAUUCUAGUUAAGCUAUGUCCAAUUUUGUUUAGGGCAAUAAAUUGCUGGCUAAUUUGGCUGAUUUGGUUACUUAAUUUGUCAACUUUCCUACACUAAAAUGUUGUUAAGUUAGUUAAAACUUAUAAGCAACUUGUAAUGUGUUAGUGACAAACGUCACUUGGGUAAGAAACAGAAUUUUCAGCUUAAUUGGCACAUGUCAGUUUACACUUCAUAAAAUGAUGUAUUUUGAAAAUCAAAGUAUGGAGUUCACCAAAUAUGUUUUUUCUAGUUCUGAAUCUUUUGGUUAUGUGUACUGAUAACCUCUAAAUUUUCUCCAUGUGGAUACGAUCUUGAUUUUGACUCUUAAAGGAUAUUGUUUGAGGUUUGUGGGUGCUAUUUUUAUAAUGCAUAAGAUUAAAUUGACACUUUCUUUCGCUUGUUUUUCCUUGUUUUUACUCUUUUACCUGAACCAACAUUUACCCUGAUUUUUGUGAAAACAUUGUAAAUUAUGUAUAUGAGGAUGUAGGUGAAUAGUGCGAAUUAUAUCCAUGCAUAUGAAUAUUCUUAAUCUGCUUCUCCUAAAUUCUUAAGUGAUUGAAUUUCCUCAGUAGCUCAUUGUUAUAUGGAUAAAAUAAUUUUGGCCUUUCUUCUAUUCUUUCUUUUGUUUUUGUUUCAUAUAUAUAUAUUCUUGUCUUAGGUUUGCCGUUUGCAUAAAUGCUGUAGUAGAUUAUGCCAUUUCGUCAUUGUUGAUGCUUUAUUUUUUAUUUUCUCUUUCUAUUACUCCAACCUUUAUUCCUUCCAAAAUGGGUAUGUGACAGUUGUAAAUUUUGGGGAAAUAAGUAAUAAAAAAAAAAGAAUUUUGGACGUGCCACCUUAGAUUCUAAAAUCCACUUCAAGUGCAUUUAAGAUUCUAUAAGUUCAUAUCAUUGUGGAGAUCUCCUCUACAAUACCUGUAUAGCUAAGAAUUCUUGAGAUUUUCAAUACUAUUUCCAUGUGAUUAUGUGAAAAAUCUACUUUCAAAGCUAUAAACUUCAUUACCCUGUAAGGAUAUGAGAUCUGCAAUCAUAAUUAUGAUCUUGAAUAAGGAUCUCCUUUCUACAAAUAUGCGUAGGGAUGCAUAAGCACAUGGGCACUAAAAAAUAAAUUUAACAAACCCUGUAAGCUUACUACAGCUGCAAGUUGAGGCGAAUUCAUUUAUGAAAUGUCCCACUGAAGUUGGAUAAUCUCUUUUAGUCUCUUGUGACCAACUUUUGAGCAAUGGCUUUUUUCCCCUGGAACACAUUGUUGACUCCUGUAUAUUACAUGUUAGCCACUGAUUGUAUAGAUUGUUUCCCGAGUUUUUAGUUUCCAUUACCAGAAUGUUAUCGACUAUAUUGUUCAAACACUUUCUCACUUCUGUAAUUUAUAUGUUGGGUGAUGCGGCCAAUUUGAUAAUCACUAUGUAUGUCGUGGAUAUACGUCCUAAUAGUGAUAAUUGAUGAUAUGGUACAGCAGUCCUCAUGUUUGAAAAUCUGACAUGUUUUCAGAUGCAAGUGGUUUCUUUCUUUCUUUAGAAACUCAAAACAUUAGGGGCUUGACCGUCUAUAACUGAAGUAUUGAAGUGAAACGUCUUAUAUAUCUUGUGGUUAAUUGUUAAUAAUCUAUUAUAUAAGCAUUUCUAUCUUCUUCUUCUUGUCUAAAUUAGAUCUAAACAAUCUUUCCGAAGAAAACAAAUGGAAUGUACAUUUGUUUUAUAAUCGUGGUGUUUGCGACAAUUUGCGCAUACUUCGACGAAUUCCACGGGAUAUCUGCUUCCUCCCACUAGCAAUAGGUUCCAGGUAACCCUAUCUGCCAAGGCUUACAAAAGAGCAUUAGUAAGUCCAGCAAGAAUAUCAUAAAUAACUGCCAAGGCUUGCAUAGAUGAGAAAAAAUCACCAAGUGUUUUUGUCUCCGCUGAGAUUGAACGUGAGACGUCAGAUUCUCAACCCGCUUUAUUGACCACUAGGCUACACCCUUGGGUGCUAAUAGAAUGUAUCUUUGUUGAAAUCCAGCUUCUUUCAUGUUACUUCUAAGAACGGUGCAUUUCUGUUGGAUCAGAGGUAAACCCAUGCUACACAAAUGACUGAGUGUCUUUUUAAAAAUCAUGACCGUGAAUUCAAUUCCAAAUUCUUGCGCUGUUGUGCAUUCUCUGUCUUUUACCUCUUCGUUAAUGCUGAUUUUGUUAUGAGACUGACAUUUCCACUUCUUUUUCAUGGUAUCCCUUUAACUAAAUGGGAAGAUUGCGUCUUAUUUCCCUGUUACUGACAAAUUGAGAAGUGGUGCAUGGUCAGACGUUUUUACCUUUCAAACAUUACUGUCAUACUCAUCACAUUUGAACCAGAUAUCAUGCCAGUGCAGCCAAUCAAUCAGACCACUUGAAUAUUCCGAUUUGUUGGAUCAACAUUAGUUGUUGAUGGUUCCUUCUUUUCCCCGAAUUGGUUGUUGAUCCUUAAAGAUUAAUUUGUGCAUGUGUGGGUUGGUGCUUGUGAUUAUUGCUUGGAAUGAUAAAUCAUGUGACAUCUGAUCAUUGUGGAGGAGGAGCUUUGGUUUGCUUUAGGGAGAAAACUAGCACAUCAUCUAUGUGUCGUUCAUUGUCAGUUCACCACUUUCUAAAAGACCUUAUAACAAAAGGGUCUGACUCAGGAAUAAGCACUGUAUCCAACCUUUUAUCAUUUUCCAACCAUGUGGGAAGCAUAUCGAAUUACAAAUUCAUUGCCUUUUGUUAAAUGAAACUAUUCCAGCUCCUGCGGUCCUAACUGCUAAGUGCAUUUUUCUAUGUGUGUUUCUUUUCAUGGGGGUUGGGCCUCUGAAAUGUCUUUCUGCCAGAACCAAAUUCCAUUAGUAGGUUUUAUUGGUUUAUUAACGUGGUUAAGGCUCUCCAGUUUCUUGAAAUAUGGAGGACAGGGAUAAUCUACUCCAAUAUAUAGUUUUGCCUCCAAGACAUUGUUGUUCAAUUACCUGCCUAAUAUGUCUUCGAUAUAUAUUGGUAUUGCAGGUGAGUAUCUUUUUCAAUGCGUUUCUUAAGAUCUGCAGUUACUACGAGGAAAAAUCAUCUCUUCUUUCCAUUUCUGAGUGCGGAUUCAUGCAUCUUUCCCUGCAUUUCAAGGUAUUAAUUAGCUUAUUUUCCAAGUUUCUGUAAAAAGGUAAUCUCUGUUCUUGUUCAUGUCAAUGCAUCACAAAGGUGACGCUAAUGUCGGUUAAAUUUGAGUUUUGUAGUGUACUAAGGGGUCGUUUGGUAUGAGGUAUAAGAAGGUAAAAGGGUGGUAUAAAAAUUUUAUACCAUCUUAAUACUCUGUUGUUAGUAAAUCAGGUAUAAGUUAUUUCGAUGUUAAUUUUAACACCGACAUACCUUGCACCUUAUAGAAGUUGGGGUAAUUAGCACCGGUAUAAUUUAUAACUUCUUCUUAGAAAUUAUGCAAUUAUCAUUCUUAAUACAACAAACCAAACAAUAAAUAAACAAUAUCUCAGCAUAACUUAUCCCAAUGUAAUUUAUAUCGGUAUAAAUCGUAUUCCAACCAAAUAUCCUUUCGAAGGAAAAGAGAGAAAAACAGUAACUUUUUGGUGUUUUGCGUUGUGUUGAAUGUUACAAGAUAUGAUGUAGCAACUGAACUUGACAACGUGAAUUCAUAAUAUUGUCAUCCAUUUAGUUAAAUAUGAAUGAAUUUCUUAGCGUGAUUAGUGAGCUGGUAUGGCAGAUCAAUUAUUUUUUGCUUCUUCUCUUCACUUUCUCAAGGAAAAAAUAAGGAAUUUUUACAUAUACAUACCAUAUAGCAAACUUUAUUACCACCCAUGUUUAAGGUUUGUGUUUA
rnacentral:lncRNA from 1 species